rnacentral:pre_miRNA from 1 species
UUAAAUCAAAAUUGUAAAGAAUUGGAACGUUUACCUACGUUUGCCGCCAGGGGCGUUAUUCCAACUGCGUACAAAUUUGAGUUA